rnacentral:rRNA from 1 species
GACGAACGCUGGCGGCGUGCUUAACACAUGCAAGUCGAACGGAAAGGCCCCGCUUUUGUGGGGUGCUCGAGUGGCGAACGGGUGAGUAACACGUGAGUAACCUGCCCUUGACUUUGGGAUAACUUCAGGAAACUGGGGCUAAUACCGGAUAGGAGCUCCUGCUGCAUGGUGGGGGUUGGAUAGUUUCGGCGGUUGGGGAUGGACUCGCGGCUUACCAGCUUGUUGGUGGGGUAGUGCCUUACCAAGGCUUUGACGGGUAGCCGGCCUGAGAGGGUGACCGGCCAAAUUGGACCUGGGAUCCGGCCCAGCUCCCUACGGGGGGAAGCGGUGGGGAUUAUUGCAAAUUGGGCGGAAGCCGGAUGCAGCAAGCCCGCGUGCGGAAUGACGGCCUUGGGGUUGUAAACCGCUUUCGCCUGUGACGAAGCGUGAGUGACGGUAAUGGGUAAAGAAGCACCGGCUAACUACGUG